CAAUAGCGUAUAUUAAAGUUGUUGCAGUUAAAAAGCUCGUGGUUGGAUUUCUGGUGGGAGCGAUCGGUCUGGCGCUUAGCGCGAGUACUUGCAUCGUCUCCGGCCAUCCUUGGGGAGAGUCUGUCUGGCAUUAAGUUGUCGGGCAGAGGAUCCUCAUCGUUUACUGUGAAAAAAUUAGAGUGUUCAAAGCAGGCUUAUGCCGUUGAAUAUAUUAGCAUGGAAUAAUAAGAUAGGACUUUGGUACUAUUUUGUUGGUUUGCGCACCAAAGUAAUGAUUAAUAGGGACAGUUGGGGGUAUUCGUAUUCCGUUGUCAGAGGUGAAAUUCUUGGAUUUACGGAAGACGAACUACUGCGAAAGCAUUUACCAAGGAUGUUUUCAUUAA
rnacentral:rRNA from 1 species